CAGAAAGUAGUUUAAAAAAUAUUAAUUUUGGAAAUUAAAGAUAAAAGCCGAGGCUUUUUUUUCUGA
rnacentral:tRNA from 1 species